CGUUAGCCGUGUAAAUACGGAAACCCGAAGACCCACAAAGACCGAGGAAUCUACUUUCCAGAACGCGUCUUCCCUUUUAAUUCUUAUUUUAUGGACCUAGAAGGAUACUUAUCGGACUUUCUCUUGAAAAAGUAUUUAACGAGAUAAACAUUUACUGCACCACUCUCGAAGUAGGAAAUUGAUAAUGGAAGACUGGAUGUUUUCAAACGAACAUCCUGGGUUACUUGACUAUCAACUGUAUCGAAUAUAAGAAUGGUCACGUGUGCAGCGUGUGAACGCGUUAAGCACGUUUAGCAACAAAUUGUCACGGCAGUAGAAACGUACCAUAAUCGAUCGUAUACAAAUAGAACUCGUUUGAACGAGGCAAUUCUUGGUCGUGGCGUUAAACGACCGAUGGAAUCGCGGCAGAAAAAUGACCCUAUCUGGUGGUAAUCGUUGUCGACAGACCCGUGAAACUAGGCUCAACUCGCCAUAACAUUCUAACUCGUGGUUUAGUAACUGGAUCGUUGCGUACAGCGUUGCACAAAAGUCUAGCAUCGAUCGCAUUAUUUUUCCUCUUUACAACGCGAACUAUACGAAACCAUUCAUAAAAAGAAUAUUCAUUCGCCGUUUUUACUUCGUUUGCCUCGGAGAAUAUACCGUAACGACGCAUUUAUGUGAAUCGUUCACUUCCAUAAUAACUGUUCUCGUUUCACGUUACAGUUAAAAAUAGAAGAUUAAAAAAGUACCACUGUUACGAACAACUGGAUAUUUAGGGAUAAUAGUGGGUUUAUAAGGAUGGGGAGAUCUAGUGGCUGAGGAUUUACACGAGGGUUGGGAUUUGGAUAUAGAGAUGUAGGGUUUUUAUUGGGGUCUAAAUUUGGGGUCUGAAAAUUUCGAGAUAAUGGCAGCUUUGAGAUCUAGCAAGAUCUCAGGGGAUCUUGUAAUUUCAGUAUCUGGGAAUCUUGAAAUCUAGGGACUUCACAAGCUAAUACAAGGGAUGACAAGAUCUAGGAUCUGUUAUAUUUAUACAUUUCAAAGUUUAUAAACACCUAGUUCUCAUUUUGUAGCUUAAAAAUGUGGAACCUAGAGAUAAAGAGAAUUAAGAAUUUUAAAAUAUCUCAAACAAUAAACAAACAUGUUUGUCGUUUAAAUUUCAUGAAACUAGUUCUAACGCUGCUCCAAAUAAACAGAAAAUAAACCAAAUAAUUAAACCGUUAGAUAAAAGACUAUCAGAAACCAGAACAGAGAAAAAUGAGAUCUAUCAUAGAAGGAUUACACCAGACAGAAGGGGUCUAUCGAGCGAUACAAUAUCAUAGAAGAUAGAUAGCAAGGUCACAUUUACACUGAACUACGUUGCACCUCAAAACUUCCAACGAAUCGAACGUAAAAGUGUCUGCAACGAUACUUUUGUACGGGGUUCGAUUAUCCAACGUACUUCGCAAUGGUUUAUGGACCCACAAACGAUUGGACGGGAUUAUUGUUCUAAUCCCGCUCGUUAAGUUCAACCGUUAGUCGCCAUGUGGAGUGGACUUGAAAGUUAGGUAUAAUACACGCGGGACCCAUGCUCGUUAAACGAGAUGGUUUCUUUGCACUCACUUUACCGACAGGAAAAAGCGAGCUCUUUUCGAACGAAAUUGAGCUUAAAAUAUCCGCGAUUGGUAACAAAAGAAAUUUACGGAACAUCGGCCAAGGUGGGAGAACAUCGUCGAUAUUCGAAAUGUUCAUAAUUUAACAACGGUACCUUAAGAAUCCUGGGAAUUAACGCGAGAACAAUUUGUACAUCGGUUGGGGAAUGCCGAUACCAGAAAUUGUGCAGAUACCGAUGUAAAAGCGUCCCAUAAAAUCUUGCAAAUUCUUUCGCAUCGAGGUUCAACUGAUUGAACACUCGGUCAGAUAUGUACAUAUCUAAAUAUCCUAGAGAUUCCCAAAGUGUGCUGACGUAGAGUUAACUACCAGAUACUAUGGUCUUGGUACUGUAAGGAUUACAACAGGAAGUAUUUAAAAGUAUAUUCUUUUACUGAAAUAUAAUUUCUUCGUUUUAUAAUAUAUGUCCUUAGUUUCAGAAUAUUGUAACAAUUGGCGAAGGAAAUAUUAAAGAAAUAAUUUGACUAGACUGACUGGCUGAACAAUUGGGACUUGAGACAUUUGAUAUGCUGACAACACUUAAUGCUUGUAAAAAUAAGUUCAUAACAAUCUAAUGAAGUAAAUGGAAUUCAAAAGUGGAUCUUCGUCCACAGAAGUUGAAGCAAGUCGUUUAAUUUCCUCCACAACGUUACGAAGGCAGCAGAUGGAUUAGUGUACAAUUGAUGUAUUUGGUCACAAAAUAUUUGCGAAGAAAAAAAGUGCAAUCCGCACUAGUCAAGCAACAUUCUCGGAGCGUUACACUUACGGUGCACGAGAUUCUUCCAGCUGCCAUAAAUCGCCUGGAUGCACUUAU
rnacentral:lncRNA from 1 species